rnacentral:lncRNA from 1 species
CGGUGGCUCACGCCUGUAAUCCCAGCACUUUGGGAGGCCGAGGUGGGUGGAUCAUGAGGUCAGGAGAUCGAGACCAUCCUGGCUAACAAGGUGAAACCCCGUCUCUACUAAAAAUACAAAAAAUUAGCCGGGCGCGGUGGCGGGCGCCUGUAGUCCCAGCUACUCGGGAGGCUGAGGCAGGAGAAUGGCGUGAACCUGGGAGGCGGAGCUUGCAGUGAGCCGAGAUUGCGCCACUGCAGUCCGCAGUCCGGCCUGGGCGACAGAGCGAGACUCCGUCUCAAAAAACAAAAACAAAAAAAAAAAAAAACAAAAAAAAAAAAAAAAAAAAACUAAUCUUUUUUUUUUUUUUUGU